UACGGGGGGGCAAGCGUUGUUCGGAAUUACUGGGCGUAAAGGGCUCGUAGGCGGCCAACUAAGUCAGACGUGAAAUCCCUCGGCUUAACCGGGGAACUGCGUCUGAUACUGGAUGGCUUGAGGUUGGGAGAGGGAUGCGGAAUUCCAGGUGUAGCGGUGAAAUGCGUAGAUAUCUGGAGGAACACCGGUGGCGAAGGCGGCAUCCUGGACCAAUUCUGACGCUGAGGAGCGAAAGCCAGGGGAGCAAAGCGGGG
rnacentral:rRNA from 1 species